UGUCAAUGUGGCAAAAAAUCCCGUAAAGUUCAGUUAUUUUUCAAGAAGGGAACAAUUAAUGUAAAUGUGUUCAUAGAAUUAUUUAAUUGUGAAUUCUCCAUAAAAAUUGGACUUUUACGUUUAGCCGGUAUAAGUGAUACGAAAAAUAUAGUUGACUCUAUUUCUUCCGAAGAAACAUGGUGGUGAAAAGAGUCAUAUUAGCGGCGGUGAUGUGCGUGGUAUUGAUGAUGACAGAUCAAAUGUGUUCAGCGCGGUCCAUAAAUGCAGACACACCCUUAGAUUCGAGCAUGCGCAAUGAAAAGCGAUCCCCAGUCGGAACCCAGAUGAUAUCUAUGCUGGAGCAUUGCCUAUCGCCAAAGGGGCAGUUCGACAUGAGAUGCCUACCAGCAAGAUUCAGGAUACUGAGGGAAAAUUAAUUAUAAUUUCUGGAAUAGAAUAUAAUAAAUGGCUCAUGUGUUAAAUGGCAAAACAAGAUCUGUGGUCAAGUGAUCAAGAGAUGGUUUCAAUUGUGUAUUUAAAACGGCAUAUUUUCCUUUUCGAAUUUCAAUGAAUGUACAGUCAUAUAAUUACCUGUACUAUAAAUGUUAACGAAGACACGAAACAAACAGCUGUUUUUCAAAAAAUAUAUCGCAAUAUACUAUAUGGAAUAUAGUAAUAGGAAAUGAAACAAGUACAAUUAACAAUCCAUCGAAGUAGAAGGCAAUAAUCUGUAACUGUACGUAAACACUCAUAUAGUUGUACUUAAUUAAGUAGUUUUAUAAUAACUUGUUUCUUUAUCGGAAAGAGUCCUGAAAUAAAAGAUGAAAUAACUAUUGCUUUAUGUAUGUUUUCUUGAAAUCAUUUCGUAACUUGAUAAGAACAUCUGAUAAGUGAGAUAUAAUUGUUGUCACUCAUUGUUUUGAAACUGUUACUAGUUUUUCUGUCUAAAACAGACGUCAGCUUAGCCAAAACUUGGACAACUCACGAAUCACCUCAGUUCCAGUUAUGUUGAGUAUUGUCAUUAUGUUUCCCCCAUUAAUGGGGAGACAUAUUGUUUUUGCCCUGUCCGUCCGUCCGUCAGUCCGUCCGUACGUCACACUUCGUUUCCGCUCUAUUUUAAUAACUAAAGAACGCUUGCACCCAGGAACUUCAUACUUGGUAUGCUGGUUGGUCAUGACUAGUAGAUGACCCCUAUUGAUUUUAAGAUCAGAAGGUCAAAGGUCAAGGUCGCAGUAGAUAUUCACUAUUUAAUACGGGUGAAUAAACCAAACUUCACUGUUUUUUUUCGUCUCCAGUCCAAAAUUACAAAUUUCAUGUCCAUCAUUUAUUUUUUCUCAUAUACGACCACACAAUAGGGGAGACAAGCGCUUUUUCAAAAAAGCAAUCUCAAGUUUUGAUCUAUUUUAAGGCAAGCAUUUAAAAUGAAAAGUGUUUGUUGCUGUGACAUAUUAGUGUCAUCUCGUAUAUCAGUUUUAGUGCCAAUUCGGUAAAAUAGAUUU